rnacentral:rRNA from 1 species
GAUGAACGCUGGCGGCGUGCCUAAUACAUGCAAGUCGAACGAACAGACGAGGAGCUUGCUCCUCGGACGUGAGCGGCGCACGUGUGAGUAACACGUGUAUACCCUACCUAUAAGGCUGGUAUAACUUCGGGACACCGGAUCUAAUACCAUAUAACAUGUUGAACCACAUCGUUCAACAGUAAGAUACGGUCUUACUAUUACUAAUAGAUGGAUCCUCGCCUGAUUAGCUAGUUGGUAAGGUAACUGCUUACCAAGGCAACGCUGCGUCGCCGACCUGAGAGGAUGAUCGGCCACACUGGAACUGAGACACGGUCCAGACUCCGACGGGAGGCAGAAGUAGGGAAUUUUCCGAAAUGGGAGAAAGCCUGACGGAGCAACGCCGCGUGAGUGAAGAAGGUUUUCGGAUCGUAAAACUCUGUUAUUAGGGAAGAACAAAUGUGUAAGUAACUAUGCACGUCUUGACGGUACCUAAUCAGAAAGCCACGGCUAACUACGUG